rnacentral:rRNA from 1 species
UGUAUUCCGCUGCGCCGGGCCGGCCCUGCUAUCUGCAGUCGUACGCUUCUUUUUCCACCGGAGCUUGCUCCACCGGAAAAAGAGGAGUGGCGAACGGGUGAGUAACACGUGGGUAACCUGCCCAUCAGAAGGGGAUAACACUUGGAAACAGGUGCUAAUACCGUAUAACAAUCGAAACCGCAUGGUUUUGAUUUGAAAGGCGCUUUCGGGUGUCGCUGAUGGAUGGACCCGCGGUGCAUUAGCUAGUUGGUGAGGUAACGGCUCACCAAGGCCACGAUGCAUAGCCGACCUGAGAGGGUGAUCGGCCACAUUGGGACUGAGACACGGCCCAAACUCCUACGGGAGGCAGCAGUAGGGAAUCUUCGGCAAUGGACGAAAGUCUGACCGAGCAACGCCGCGUGAGUGAAGAAGGUUUUCGGAUCGUAAAACUCUGUUGUUAGAGAAGAAUAAGGAUGAGAGUAACUGUUCAUCCCUUGACGGUAUCUAACCAGAAAGCCACGGCUAACUACGUGCCAGCAGCCGCGGUAAUACGUAGGUGGCAAGCGUUGUCCGGAUUUAUUGGGCGUAAAGCGAGCGCAGGCGGUUUCUUAAGUCUGAUGUGAAAGCCCCCGGCUCAACCGGGGAGGGUCAUUGGAAACUGGGAGACUUGAGUGCAGAAGAGGAGAGUGGAAUUCCAUGUGUAGCGGUGAAAUGCGUAGAUAUAUGGAGGAACACCAGUGGCGAAGGCGGCUCUCUGGUCUGUAACUGACGCUGAGCUCGAAAGCGUGGGGAGCAAACAGGAUUAGAUACCCUGGUAGUCCACGCCGUAAACGAUGAGUGCUAAGUGUUGGAGGGUUUCCGCCCUUCAGUGCUGCAGCUAACGCAUUAAGCACUCCGCCUGGGGAGUACGACCGCAAGGUUGAAACUCAAAGGAAUUGACGGGGGGCCCGCACAAGCGGUGAGCAUGUGGUUAUUUCAAGCACGCGAAGAACAUACCAGUCUUGACAUCCUUUGACCACUCUAGAGAUAGAGGCUUCCCCUUCCGGGGGCAAGAGUGACAAGUGGGUGCAUGGUUGGUCGAUCA